rnacentral:rRNA from 1 species
AAAGCGUGGGGAGCAAAAAGGAUUAGAUACCCUUGUAGUCCACGCCCUAAACUAUGCCGGCUAGCCGUUUCGAGUAUCGACCCUCGGAGUGGCGCAGCUAACGCGUUAAGCCGGCCGCCUGGGAAGUACGAGCGCAAGCUUAAAACUCAAAGGAAUAGACGGGGGUUCGCACAAGCAGUGGAGCAUGAGGUUUAAUUCGAUAACAAGCGAGAAACCUUACCAGGGUUUGAAACUGAGACGAAAGUCCGACGAAAGUUGGACCCUUUGCUAUAAGUAAACGGCUCAGCAGGUGCUGCACGGUUGCCGUCAGCUCGUGUCUUGAGAUGUACCCUUAAGUGGGGAAACGAGCGCAACCCUUACCAGUAGUUACAAGUGUCUACUGGGACUGCCCGUCACAGAUGGGAGGAAGGAGAGGAUGACGUCAAAUCAGCGUGGCCUUUUGAUACCCUGGGCAACACUCAUGCUACAAUGGUCGGUACAACGGGUUUGCAAAGUCGUAAGGCGGAGCUAAUCUCUAAAAACCGGCCCCAGUUCGGAUUGAGGGCUGCAACUCGCCCUCAUGAAGCCGGAAUUGCUAGUAAUCGCGGAUCAGCACGCCGCGGUGAAUACGUUAUCGAACCUUGUACUCACCGCCCGUCACGUCAAGGGAGCCGGGAAUACCUGAAACUCGCUUUUGGCGAACUAGGGUAAGUUCGGUGACAUGGACGAAGUCGUAACAAGGCACGUGUAGCGGAAGCUGUGCGUGGAUCAAUUAAACU